UACGUAGGUGGCAAGCGUUGUCCGGAUUUACUGGGCGUAAAGAGCGCGCAGGCGGUCGUUCAAGUCGCGUGUGAAAGCCCCCGGCUCAACUGGGGAGGGUCACGCGAUACUGAUCGACUGGAAGGCAGGAGAGGGUAGUGGAAUUCCCGGUGUAGUGGUGAAAUGCGUAGAUAUCAGGAGGAACACCUGUGGCGAAAGCGGCUCACUGGACCACAACUGACGCUGAGGCGCGAAAGCUAGGGGAGCAAACAGG
rnacentral:rRNA from 1 species